rnacentral:rRNA from 1 species
UACAGAGGGUGCGAGCGUUAAUCGGAGUUACUGGGCGUAAAGGGCGCGUAGGCGGUAAUAUGAGUGUGAUGUGAAAGCCCCGGGCUUAACCUGGGAAGUGCAUCGCAAACGAUAUUACUGGAGUACAAGAGAGGGUGGCGGAAUUUCCGGUGUAGCGGUGAAAUGCGUAGAGAUCGGAAGGAACGUCAAUGGCGAAGGCAGCCACCUGGCUUGAUACUGACGCUGAGGCGCGAAAGCGUGGGGAGCGAACAGG